rnacentral:rRNA from 1 species
AGUCAUAUGCUUGUCUCAAAGAUUAAGCCAUGCAUGUCUCAGUACAAGCCAAAUUAAGGUGAAACCGCGAAAGGCUCAUUAAAUCAGUUAUGGUUCCUUAGAUCGUACCCACAUUUACUUGGAUAACUGUGGUAAUUCUAGAGCUAAUACAUGCUUACAGAACUCUGACCGGAGACGGAAAGAGUGCUUUUAUUAGAUCAAAACCAAUCGGUGGCGAGCUUGCUCGUCAUCGUACAUCUUGGUGACUCUGAAUAACUUUUGCUGAUCGCACGGUCUCGCACCGGCGACGCAUCUUUCAAAUGUCUGCCUUAUCAACUGUCGAUGGUAGGUUCUGCGCCUACCAUGGUUGUAACGGGUAACGGGGAAUCAGGGUUCGAUUCCGGAGAGGGAGCCUGAGAAACGGCUACCACAUCCAAGGAAGGCAGCAGGCGCGCAAAUUACCCACUCCCGGCACGGGGAGGUAGUGACGAAAAAUAACGAUACGGGACUCAUCCGAGGCCCCGUAAUCGGAAUGAGUACACUCUAAACCUUUUAACAAGGAUCAAUUGGAGGGAAAGUCUGGUGCCAGCAGCCGCGG